GAUCCAGACUCCUACGGGAGGCAGCAGUCGGGAAUAUUGCGCAAUGGAGGAAACUCUGACGCAGUGACGCCGCGUAUAGGAAGAAGGUUUUCGGAUUGUAAACUAUUGUCGUUAGGGAAGAUAGAAGACAGUACCUAAGGAGGAAGCUCCAGCUAACUACGUGCCAGCAGCCGCGGUAAUACGUAGGGAGCAAGCGUUAUCCGGAUUUAUUGGGUGUAAAGGGUGCGUAGACGGGAAAUUAAGUUAGUUGUGAAAUCCCUCGGCUCAACUGAGGAACUGCAACUAAAACUGAUUUUCUUGAGUGCAGGAGAGGUAAGUGGAAUUCCUAGUGUAGCGGUGAAAUGCGUAGAUAUUAGGAGGAACACCAGUGGCGAAGGCGACUUUCUGGACUGUACCUGACGCUGAGGCGCGAAAGCGUGGGUAGCGAACGGGAUUAGAUACCCUGGUA
rnacentral:rRNA from 1 species